rnacentral:rRNA from 1 species
AUACGUAGGGGGCGAGCGUUGUCCGGAAUGAUUGGGCGUAAAGGGCGCGUAGGCGGCCCGGUAAGUCUGGAGUGAAAGUCCUGCUUUUAAGGUGGGAAUUGCUUUGGAUACUGUCGGGCUUGAGUGCAGGAGAGGGAAGUGGAAUUCCCAGUGUAGCGGUGAACUGCGUAGAGAUUGGGAGGAACACCAGUGGCGAAGGCGACUUACUGGACUGUAACUGACGCUGAGGCGCGAAAGUGUGGGGAGCAAACAGGAUUAGAUACCCUGGUAGUCCACACUGUAAACGAUGAAUGCUAGGUGUAGGGGGUAUCGACCCCUUCUGUGCCGCAGUUAACACAAUAAGCAUUCCGCCUGGGGAGUACGGCCGCAAGGUUGAAACUCAAAUGAAUUGACGGGG